UACAGAGGGUGCGAGCGUUAAUCGGAAUUACUGGGCGUAAAGCGUGCGUAGACGGUUGUCUAAGUCGGAUGUGAAAUCCCCGGGCUCAACCUGGGAAUUGCAUUCGAGACUGAACAGCUAGGGUGCGGAAGAGGGAAGCGGAAUUUCCGGUGUAGCAGUGAAAUGCGUAGAUAUCGGAAGGAACAUCAGUGGCGAAAGCGGCUUCCUGGUCC
rnacentral:rRNA from 1 species